GAAAACAAACAAGAACAAAGAGAUAAUAAGUAAGUUACAGAACUGGCGAGUUUGUGUCCGUGCAUUCACUGUUGACUGAGUGAGCUUCUCCUUCCCUUUUCUCCAGCUGCUGCGAGGAUUCAGAAGUGGAUUCAGUUUAGUGUUCAAAAGAUCAAAAGACUCAUGCGGAAGUUUUACCAUGUUCAAAUGCUUGAAUCUUCUUCUGCUGCUGCUGUUUUGUUUUGUCUAUCAAAGGGAAAUCCUGCCUGCAGGAAACCCCCUUAUAUCUGUGUCGGGAAAAAAGAGAGGCAGCGUCACACUAACAUGUGAACAUGAGAUCAAUAAUAUUGUUCAGAUUGAUUUAUUCACUCAGUCAGGAGACAUAGAUGUGUGUCAGACUGAAGAAUGUAGUGGACGAGUGUUUAAAGAAGGAAACUGUGACGUCGUCAUCAAGAAUCUGAGCUUCAGUGACGCUGGGAAAUACUUUCUGAGAAUCUAUUACAAUAAUGAUCAGACAGAGCUGGAGCGACAAAUCAGGACGUACCAACUUCAGAUUCAUGAUGAGAUUUCUGUGAAAACAGGCGAGGAGCUAAAGAUGUCUGUUCUGUUGUCUAAUGCUGAUAAAGUGAAGACAAACUCUAGUGGAGAGUGGAAGGAGGUUUGGAAGAGAGGCCACGGGGUCUGGAGUGACCGAAUGAUUGAUGAUAAUGAUGGGAACCUGAUCAUUAAAGCAUUUCUGGACAGUGAUGCAGGAACAUACAGAGUUCUGGACUCUGAAGGAGAAAUCUUGAUCACAGUCACAGUCACAGGUGAGCAGGUGUUUAGAAAUAUUUCGAAUACAUCAUGAGCUUGGGAUUUGUUCUUUUAAACUGAAUCUGUAUGACUAAUGUUUUCAAAUCUUGUUUAUAUUUUUUCAUAUCUGCCUGGCUCAGCGGGAGAAAACACAGGUGAGACAGAAGAACAGUAAAGUAAGAAGCUCUAAAAAAACAUGAACAAUACUUUUAAAAAUAUAAAAUAUANUAUAGUGAAAAGUGCUAUUCAAAUAAACUUGACUUGAAUAUAUUUAUAGAACA
ensembl:lncRNA